GGAUCGAUGGGUCGGUCAUGCCCUCGGUAUGUACUGAUCCCAUUGGUCCUCACCUUCUAAGGAACCAUGAUGUCAUUCGGUUGAUGUUGUGGGGAAUUAGGACUGUUACCUUGAAAAAAUUAGAGUGUUUAAAGCAGGCCAACGCUUGAAUACAUUAGCAUGGAAUAAUGAAAUAGGACAUCCGAUUCUAUUUUGUUGGUUUCUAGGAUCGAUGUAAUGAUUAAUAGGGAUAGUUGGG
rnacentral:rRNA from 1 species